UGGGGAAUAUUGCACAAUGGGGGAAACCCUGAUGCAGUAACGCCGCGUGAAGGAAGACGGUUUUCGGAUUGUAAACUUCUUUCCUUAGUGAAGAAGCAAGUGACGGUAGCUAAGGAAUAAGCAUCGGCUAACUACGUGCCAGCAGCCGCGGUAAUACGUAGGAUGCGAGCGUUAUCCGGAAUUACUGGGUGUAAAGGGAGCGCAGGCGGGACUGCAAGUUGGAUGUGAAAUACCGCAGCUUAACUGCGGAGCUGCAUCCAAAACUGUAGUUCUUGAGUGGAGUAGAGGCAAGCGGAAUUCCGAGUGUAGCGGUGAAAUGCGUAGAUAUUCGGAGGAACACCAGUGGCGAAGGCGGCUUGCUGGGCUCUAACUGACGCUGAGGCUCGAAAGUGUGGGGAGCAAACAGGAUUAGAUACC
rnacentral:rRNA from 1 species